GCAUCGGGAAGAAAGCUUGCUUUCUUUGCCGGCGACCGGCGCACGGGUGAGUAACACGUAUCCAACCUGCCCUUUACUCGGGGAUAGCCUUUCGAAAGAAAGAUUAAUACCCGAUAGCAUAAUGAUUCCGCAUGGUUUCAUUAUUAAAGGAUUCCGGUAAAGGAUGGGGAUGCGUUCCAUUAGGUUGUUGGUGGGGUAACGGCCCACCAAGCCUUCGAUGGAUAGGGGUUCUGAGAGGAAGGUCCCCCACAUUGGAACUGAGACACGGUCCAAACUCCUACGGGAGGCAGCAGUGAGGAAUAUUGGUCAAUGGGCGCUAGCCUGAACCAGCCAAGUAGCGUGAAGGAUGAAGGCUCUAUGGGUCGUAAACUUCUUUUAUAUAAGAAUAAAGUGCAGUAUGUAUACUGUUUUGUAUGUAUUAUAUGAAUAAGGAUCGGCUAACUCCGUGCCAGCAGCCGCGGUAAUACGGAGGAUCCGAGCGUUAUCCGGAUUUAUUGGGUUUAAAGGGAGCGUAGGUGGACUGGUAAGUCAGUUGUGAAAGUUUGCGGC
rnacentral:rRNA from 1 species